AUAAGGUGGAAGCGGAUAGAGCUGACGUAGCUGGUCCGUAUUCAGCCGUUCAUGGUGUAUGGUUGUUGGCUGGCAGAGGCGGUGGUCUCCGUCGUCUCUUGUCGGUUGAUUGACCGUGUGCUUGGGCGGUGUAUUUACGGGCCAAAUGUGCUGAGGAGUGCGCGUUGAUCGUUUGACGUUGGGUUAGAGGAAACUCGUUUCGGCGAUUGAACCCUAGCCUCUCUGAGAACGCAUUCGGCGUGCAUGCGUGUCUCUCUGGACAUAGCGUGUCUGGAGCGUUGUCGGUGGACGGAUGGUCGCGGAUUGUGGCGGUCGCUUGCGACACGUGCUUUUCAUGACUGUUUCCUGGCAUGCUCCUUUUUGUCCAACCUCGGUGUAAAAGUCAGUCAUCUAUCCGACCCGUCUUGAAACACGGACCAAGGAGUUUAGCGUAUGCGCGAGUCAUUGGGUCAUUAAACCUAAAGGCGUAAUGAAAGUGAAUACAAAUUCGAUUUGUUGACAUGCGAUCCGGCGUACCUCGGUGCGUCGGCGCAGCAUGGCCCCGUUCCUGUCGCAUGCGACGGGGCGGAGGUAGAGCGUAUGCGCUGAUA
rnacentral:rRNA from 1 species